rnacentral:rRNA from 1 species
UUAAGAGGGCUUGACCCUAUCUGGUGUCAAUGGAUUGAGAGUGUUCUAUACAAUGGUACAGUGGGCGUGAAACUAAAUGGGAAGGUUGGCCCUUAUUUUUAGAGCCAUAAAGGGGUUAGGAGGGGGCUUUCUCCUUUCCUGUUUAACCUGGUUGCUGAUUGUUUAACUUAAAUGGCCACAAAACCUCAAUCCAAUGGCUUGAUUACUGGGUUAGCUAAUGAUCUAAUUCCUAAUGGCAUUACUAUUAUGCACUAUGUUGAUGAUAGUGUGUUGUGUAUUGAGCAUGAUCCUGAUAAAGUUCUUAACUCGAAGCUAUUACUUUCCAUGUAUGAGCUUAUGUUACUUAUAAACAUAAAUUUCUAG